AAGUCGUUUGGUUAUGAAAAUUCAUCAAAGAGUAUGGAGUGGCACCCUCCAUUGAUGGUCCAGUCUUGCUAUAUUGACAGCAGUACUGGAGCCAUAGCUCAAGCUGAAGAAUUGAUGCUCCAUCUAUGAACCAAACACUUUCUGCAUUACAAUUAACUUUUUCGAUAAGAUCGAAAUAAAGUUGACCUUAGAAAGAUCGACUGAAAGAAGAACUUGACCGACACAUUGACUAGAGCAAUCGGAUCUAAAGAGUUCGAUGAUCUAAAAUGAA
rnacentral:lncRNA from 1 species